rnacentral:rRNA from 1 species
AGAGUUUGAUCCUGGCUCAGGAUGAACGCUGGCGGCGUGCUUAACACAUGCAAGUCGAACGGGGAUGCCAUUUUUGAAGCGAUUAGCUUGCUAAGAGUGGAAAUGUUGGCAUCUUAGUGGCGGACGGGUGAGUAACGCGUGGGGAACCUGCCCUGUACAGGGGGAUAACACUUAGAAAUAGGUGCUAAUACCGCAUAAGCGCACAGUAUCGCAUGAUACAGUGUGAAAAACUCCGGUGGUACAGGAUGGACCCGCGUCUGAUUAGCUGGUUGGCGGGGUAACGGCCCACCAAGGCGACGAUCAGUAGCCGGCCUGAGAGGGUGAACGGCCACAUUGUGACUGAGACACGGCCCAAACUCCUACGGGAGGCAGCAGUGGGGAAUAUUGGACAAUGGGGGGAACCCUGAUCCAGCGACGCCGCGUGAGUGAAGAAGUAUUUCGGUAUGUAAAGCUCUAUCAGCAGGGAAGAAAAUGACGGUACCUGACUAAGAAGCCCCGGCUAACUACGUGCCAGCAGCCGCGGUAAUACGUAGGGGGCAAGCGUUAUCCGGAUUUACUGGGUGUAAAGGGAGCGUAGACGGUGCAGCAAGUCUGAUGUGAAAGGUCGGGGCCCAACCCCGGGACUGCAUUGGAAACUGUUGAACUGGAGUACAGGAGAGGUAAGCGGAAUUCCUAGUGUAGCGGUGAAAUGCGUAGAUAUUAGGAGGAACACCAGUGGCGAAGGCGGCUUACUGGACUGUAACUGACGUUGAGGCU